CUCAAGCGCCAUGGCUAGCGCGCUGGACUUCUAAUCCAAAAGGGGAACUUCUAAUCGUGGGUUCAAAUCCCACCUGUGAUG